rnacentral:rRNA from 1 species
AAAUUGAAGAGUUUGAUCAUGGCUCAGAUUGAACGCUGGCGGCAGGCCUAACACAUGCAAGUCGAGCGGUAGCACAGAGAGCUUGCUCUCGGGUGACGAGCGGCGGACGGGUGAGUAAUGUCUGGGAAACUGCCUGAUGGAGGGGGAUAACUACUGGAAACGGUAGCUAAUACCGCAUAACGUCGCAAGACCAAAGUGGGGGACCUUCGGGCCUCAUGCCAUCAGAUGUGCCCAGAUGGGAUUAGCUAGUAGGUGGGGUAAUGGCUCACCUAGGCGACGAUCCCUAGCUGGUCUGAGAGGAUGACCAGCCACACUGGAACUGAGACACGGUCCAGACUCCUACGGGAGGCAGCAGUGGGGAAUAUUGCACAAUGGGCGCAAGCCUGAUGCAGCCAUGCCGCGUGUAUGAAGAAGGCCUUCGGGUUGUAAAGUACUUUCAGCGAGGAGGAAGGCGUUAAGGUUAAUAACCUUGGCGAUUGACGUUACUCGCAGAAGAAGCACCGGCUAACUCCGUGCCAGCAGCCGCGGUAAUACGGAGGGUGCAAGCGUUAAUCGGAAUUACUGGGCGUAAAGCGCACGCAGGCGGUCUGUCAAGUCGGAUGUGAAAUCCCCGGGCUCAACCUGGGAACUGCAUUCGAAACUGGCAGGCUAGAGUCUUGUAGAGGGGGGUAGAAUUCCAGGUGUAGCGGUGAAAUGCGUAGAGAUCUGGAGGAAUACCGGUGGCGAAGGCGGCCCCCUGGACAAAGACUGACGCUCAGGUGCGAAAGCGUGGGGAGCAAACAGGAUUAGAUACCCUGGUAGUCCACGCCGUAAACGAUGUCGACUUGGAGGUUGUGCCCUUGAGGCGUGGCUUCCGGAGCUAACGCGUUAAGUCGACCGCCUGGGGAGUACGGCCGCAAGGUUAAAACUCAAAUGAAUUGACGGGGGCCCGCACAAGCGGUGGAGCAUGUGGUUUAAUUCGAUGCAACGCGAAGAACCUUACCUGGUCUUGACAUCCACAGAACUUUCCAGAGAUGGAUUGGUGCCUUCGGGAACUGUGAGACAGGUGCUGCAUGGCUGUCGUCAGCUCGUGUUGUGAAAUGUUGGGUUAAGUCCCGCAACGAGCGCAACCCUUAUCCUUUGUUGCCAGCGGUCCGGCCGGGAACUCAAAGGAGACUGCCAGUGAUAAACUGGAGGAAGGUGGGGAUGACGUCAAGUCAUCAUGGCCCUUACGACCAGGGCUACACACGUGCUACAAUGGCAUAUACAAAGAGAAGCGACCUCGCGAGAGCAAGCGGACCUCAUAAAGUAUGUCGUAGUCCGGAUUGGAGUCUGCAACUCGACUCCAUGAAGUCGGAAUCGCUAGUAAUCGUAGAUCAGAAUGCUACGGUGAAUACGUUCCCGGGCCUUGUACACACCGCCCGUCACACCAUGGGAGUGGGUUGCAAAAGAAGUAGGUAGCUUAACCUUCGGGAGGGCGCUUACCACUUUGUGAUUCAUGACUGGGGUGAAGUCGUAACAAGGUAACCGUAGGGGAACCUGCGGUUGGAUCACCUCCUUA